rnacentral:misc_RNA from 1 species
GUUUAAACUUUAUGGAUGGACAACCGACAUACAUUACAAAAACGCGUCAAAAAUGACAGUGCACAAGUGUUUGAAAUAGGAUAGAGGCGGUCGAAACCAAACCUCAAUUUCACUAAUGAUCCUUCCGCAGGUUCACCUACGGAAA